GGCGGAUGUAGCCAAGUGGAUCAAGGCAGUGGAUUGUGAAUCCACCCAUGCGCG
rnacentral:tRNA from 2 species